UAGAAUCCCCUCCUCUGACUCUCUGAGAUAGGGGGCUGACUAAGCCCUUCCCAUCAGGGAAAACCUGACCCCUUUCACAAAAAGGCAGUUAUUCAUCUUUUGUGGCAGCUGUAGGAUUCACAUGGUUGAAUCUCCUCAUCAGUCUUCAUUUGUGGAUUACAGCUUCCAUACUCAGUGACAAGUGAGGAAAAGAUUGAGGAUAAUCACCGGCAACAACAAAGAAGAGAAGAAAGGCUGGCUGAAUCUUCUGAUGCCCAGAAAGUUGUUUCAGACAGAUGUCAGAAGACUAAUACCCCCCAAAGAAAAUUUGGGUUGAAGAAAAGGAUUUUAAAAUACAACAGUCAUGUCAUAUGGUAAAUGCAAACAUGGAUUUUGCCAGUUGGGAUCACUUUACAAUGAUUUAUUUUAGUCUAAGCUUAGCUUAGGUUGUAAAAGUAUCUUUAAAAUUAAUGUCUGUCUCAUUGGAAAAUAAUUCUUAUUGAUUCUUAUUUCAUUAUCCUUUUCUUUGCUAAUGGUCCUGGAAAACCAACACUUUUUAAUUACACCAUUAUCUUUUGAAUGUAAGGACUGAGUGUCACAUGCUUAAAAAGACUUUGGUUGAUUACACAAGAAUGUCAAUUUAAGUUUUGUCUCAGCUUCCUUUUGUUAAUCAGUUUUGUCUCAACUUCAUUUUAUGAAGCUUUCUUUGCUUCUCAAUUAUUUUGUGAGCCACAGAACAAGACUGAAGGUGGAAGGUAACUAUGGACACCCUUGUUUGUGAUCCAACAUUCUUGUUUCAGCAGCCAUUUUGUGAUUCAUUAAACAGCUGAGCAUCAUGAGAAUUUGAUUAAAACCAAUGAAGUCCAAAA